AGUGAACGCUGGCGGUAGGCCUAACACAUGCAAGUCGAACGGCAGCACAGUAAGAGCUUGCUCUUACGGGUGGCGAGUGGCGGACGGGUGAGGAAUACAUCGGAAUCUACUUUUUCGUGGGGGAUAACGUAGGGAAACUUACGCUAAUACCGCAUACGACCUAGGGGUGAAAGCAGGGGAUCUUCGGACCUUGCGCGAUUGAAUGAGCCGAUGUCGGAUUAGCUAGUUGGCGGGGUAAAGGCCCACCAAGGCGACGAGCCGUAGCUGGUCUGAGAGGAUGGUCAGCCACACUGGAACUGAGACACGGUCCAGACUCCUACGGGAGGCAGCAGUGGGGAAUAUUGGACAAUGGGCGCAAGCCUGAUCCAGCCAUACCGCGUGGGUGAAGAAGGCCUUCGGGUUGUAAAGCCCUUUUGUUGGGAAAGAAAAGCAGCAGGUUAAUACCCCGCUGUUCUGACGGUACCCAAAGAAUAAGCACCGGCUAACUUCGUG
rnacentral:rRNA from 1 species